UACGUAGGUGGCAAGCGUUGUCCGGAAUUAUUGGGCGUAAAGCGCGCGCAGGCGGUCUUUUAAGUCUGAUGUGAAAGAUCGGGGCUCAACCCCGAGAGGUCAUUGGAAACUGGGAGACUUGAGUACAGAAGAGGAGAGUGGAAUUCCACGUGUAGCGGUGAAAUGCGUAGAUAUCAGGAAGAACACCCGUGGCUAAGGCGGCUCUCUAGUACGGUACUGACGCUGAGACGCGAAAGCGUGGGGAGCGAACAGG
rnacentral:rRNA from 1 species